rnacentral:rRNA from 1 species
UACGGGGGGGGCAAGCGUUGUUCGGAAUUACUGGGCGUAAAGGGCUCGUAGGUGGCCAACUAAGUCAGACGUGAAAUCCCUCGGCUUAACCGGGGAACUGCGUCUGAUACUGGAUGGCUUGAGUUUGGGAGAGGGAUGCGGAAUUCCAGGUGUAGCGGUGAAAUGCGUAGAUAUCUGGAGGAACACCGGUGGCGAAGGCGGCAGUCCUGGACCAACACUGACACUGAUGAGCGAAAGCCAGGGGAGCAAACGGG